CCUACGGGGGGCAGCAGUGAGGAAUAUUGGUCAAUGGGCGUAAGCCUGAACCAGCCAAGUCGCGUGAGGGAUGAAGGUUCUAUGGAUCGUAAACCUCUUUUAUAAGGGAAUAAAGUGCGGGACGUGUCCCGUUUUGUAUGUACCUUAUGAAUAAGGAUCGGCUAACUCCGUGCCAGCAGCCGCGGUAAUACGGAGGAUCCGAGCGUUAUCCGGAUUUAUUGGGUUUAAAGGGUGCGUAGGCGGCCUUUUCAGUCAGCGGUGAAAGUCUGUGGCUCAACCAUAGAAUUGCCGUUGAAACUGGCAGGCUUGAGUAUGUUUGCGGCAGGCGGAAUUCGUGGUGUAGCGGUGAAAUGCUUAGAUAUCACGCAGAACCCCGAUUGCGAAGGCAGCCUGCCAAGCCAUGACUGACGCUGAUGCACGAACGCGUGGGUAUCAAACAGGAUUAGAUACCCGAGUAGUC
rnacentral:rRNA from 1 species